rnacentral:rRNA from 1 species
UUGACCUCGAAUCAGGUAGGAAUACCCGCUGAACUUAAGCAUAUCAAUAAGCGGAGGAAAAGAAACCAACCGGGAUUACCUCAGUAACGGCGAGUGAAGCGGUAACAGCUCAAAUUUGAAAUCUGGCUCCGUUGGAGUCCGAGUUGUAAUUUGUAGAAGAUGCUUUGGGUUGUGGGUUCGGCCUAAGUUCCUUGGAACAGGACGUCAUAGAGGGUGAGAAUCCCGUAUGUGGCCGAGGCCUGCGCCUAUGUAAAGCUCUUUCGACGAGUCGAGUUGUUUGGGAAUGCAGCUCAAAAUGGGUGGUAAAUUUCAUCUAAAGCUAAAUAUGGGCCAGAGACCGAUAGCGCACAAGUAGAGUGAUCGAAAGAUGAAAAGCACUUUGGAAAGAGAGUUAAACAGUACGUGAAAUUGUUGAAAGGGAAGCGCUUGCAACCAGACUUGGGCGCUGCCGAUCACCCCGAGUUUUCUCUGGUGCACUCGACAGCGCACAGGCCAGCAUCGGUUCGGGUGGCUGGAUAAAGGCCGUAGGAACGUAGCUCCUCUCGGGGAGUGUUAUAGCCUACGGUGCCAUGCAGCCCAGCCGGACCGAGGACCGCGCCUUCGGGCUAGGAUGCUGGCGUAAUGGUUGUAAGCGACCCGUCUUGAAACACGGACCAAGGAGUCUAACAUCUAUGCGAGUGUUUGGGCGUUAAACCCAUACGCGGAAUGAAAGUGAACGUAGGUG